rfam:Candidatus Marinimicrobia bacterium TMED46 98328, whole genome shotgun sequence.
UGAGUCGGUUGGAUGGUUACUCUAGGAUUGUUGAUUCAACCCUAGAGAGGAAAGUCCGGGCACCGCAGAAUAGGAUGCUCCUUAACGAGGGGAGGUCUGCUUAAGCAGAUUAUGGAAAGUGCAACAGAAAAUAAACCGCCUUCGGGUAAGGGUGAAACAGUGGUGUAAGAGACCACUAUAUUUUGAAGAAAUUCACAAUAUUGGCAAACCCCAUCCGGUGCAAGAUCGAAUAGGCUCUUAGAUGUUAUUCGCAUUGUUUGAAGAGUGGGUAGAUCGCUUGAAAUUUAUGGCAACAUAGAUGCUAGAUGAAUGACCAUACAAUAGACCAUGAACUGGCCUAAUGACAAAACUCGGCUUAUAGACCGGCUCAAUUA